GGAGAGGUGGCUGAGUGGUCGAAAGCGCUCCCCUGCUAAGGGAGUAAGGGGCUUAAACCCCCUUCGAGGGUUCGAAUCCCUCCCUCUCCGCCA
rnacentral:tRNA from 1 species